rnacentral:tRNA from 1 species
GGCACCUUAGCUCAGCCUGGUAGAGUACUGCUUUCAUGAGGCAGUGGUCCGGAGUUCAAAUCUCCGAGGUGCCA